rnacentral:lncRNA from 1 species
GUGAUUCGAGUUACGAGUUCCAUCACAGAACAAAUUAAACUCGUAAGUCAAGGUACCACUGUACAAAAUGGCAUCUUUUAGAGUUCUUUUCCAUAGGCUACAUACACAUUGUAUGAAGCAAAAGGAUAAAGAAAGAGAGAGUAAGCUAUAUAAUCACUCAAGAGCAGAAAUAUUAUUAUAAAUAUAAGACUAUGAAGGCUGUAUUUAAUAACUUCAUUAAAUCAAUGACAAUUCCUCAUGUGACAUCAAUACUGCAGGAUAGUAGUCAACCCAGCCAACAUCAACGGACGUACCCUCUUAUACAUGAUCCAAUAGUGGACAGGACUGUAAGAAAAAUUGCCAAGAGCAAUCUAUGCAGGCACAUUUAUAAAAGAAUGUCUACCGUUUUUUUCAAAUUUACGAAAUGAUAAAGACCAACUGAGCAGCAUGUGGAAGUCAGGAGUAUAUUUAGUCUUAGUAUAUAACAACAGUAUAAUG